UGCCUAACACAUGCAAGUCGAGCGUGAAAGUCCUUCGGGAUGAGUAAAGCGGCGGACGGGUGAGUAACGCGUGAGAAUCUACCCUUCAGUGAGGAAUACCUUUGAGAAAUCGAAGUUAAUACUGCAUACGUCUCGUAAGAGAGAAAGAUGGCCUAAUUGCUGUCGCUGAGGGAUGAGCUUGCGUUCUAUUAGUUAGUUGGUGAGGUAAUGGCUCACCAAGACGAUGAUGGAUAGCCGGCCUGAGAGGGUGUACGGCCACAUUGGAACUUAGACACGGUCCAAACUCCUACGGGAGGCAGCAGUGAGGAAUAUUGCACAAUGGGCGAAAGCCUGAUGCAGCGACGCCGCGUGGAGGAUGAAGGUUUUCGGAUUGUAAACUCC
rnacentral:rRNA from 1 species